AAUCUUGGACAAUGGGCGAAAGCCUGAUCCAGCCACGCCGCGUGUGUGAAGAAGGUCUUCGGAUCGUAAAGCUCUGUAAGUUGGGAGGAACGGGUGUAGGUUAAUAUCCUUCUAUUUUGACGUUACCAACUGAAUAAGCAACGGCUAACUACGUGCCAGCAGCCGCGGUAAUACGAAGGGUGCAAGCGUUCACCGGAAUUACUGGGCGUAAAGCGCGCGUAGGUGGUUCGUUAAGUUGGAAGUGAAAGCCCCGGGCUUAACCUGGGAAUGGCUUUGAAAACUGGCGGGCUAGAGUACAGUAGAGGGUAGUGGAAUUUCAUGUGUAGCGGUGAAAUGCGUAGAUAUAGGGAGGAACAUCAGUGGCGAAGGCGACUACCUGGACUGAUACUGACACUGAGGUGCGAAAGCGUGGGGAGCAAACA
rnacentral:rRNA from 1 species